CCUACGGGAGGCAGCAGUGAGGAAUAUUGGUCAAUGGACGAGAGUCUGAACCAGCCAAGUAGCGUGAAGGAUGACUGCCCUAUGGGUUGUAAACUUCUUUUAUAUGGGAAUAAAAUGUUCCACGUGUGGGAUUUUGUAUGUACCAUAUGAAUAAGGAUCGGCUAACUCCGUGCCAGCAGCCGCGGUAAUACGGAGGAUCCGAGCGUUAUCCGGAUUUAUUGGGUUUAAAGGGAGCGUAGGUGGAUUGUUAAGUCAGUUGUGAAAGUUUGCGGCUCAACCGUAAAAUUGCAGUUGAUACUGGCAGUCUUGAGUACAGUAGAGGUGGGCGGAAUUAGUGGUGUAGCGGUGAAAUGCUUAGAUAUCACGAAGAACUCCGAUUGCGAAGGCAGUUCACUGGACUGCAACUGACACUGAGGCUCGAAAGUGUGGGUAUCAAACAGGAUUAGAUACCCCUGUAGUC
rnacentral:rRNA from 1 species